ACAGCAGUAGCCGCGGGAAAACGAGGGGGGCAAGCGUUAUCCGGAAUCAUUGGGUUUAAAGGGUCCGUAGGCGGUCUUGUAAGUCAGUGGUGAAAGCCCAUCGCUCAACGGUGGAACGGCCAUUGAUACUGCAGGACUUGAAUUAUUGGGAAGUAACUAGAAUAUGUAGUGUAGCGGUGAAAUGCUUAGAGAUUACAUGGAAUACCAAUUGCGAAGGCAGGUUACUACCAAUUGAUUGACGCUGAUGGACGAAAGCGUGGGUUGCGAACAGGAUUAGAUACCCCGGUAGUCCCUGUCUCUUAUAC
rnacentral:rRNA from 1 species